rnacentral:lncRNA from 1 species
GCCCUUCUUCUUAACUUCCUCGCCUCGCCUCUAGAAGCAGGCAGUGUUUGAUACUUCAGGUAGGCAAUGAUAGGCUGCAUCCAUAAUGGGGUGCCUUCUAUCCAUAGUAUCUCUUUACCUCCGGAGGUGGAGGGCUUUGAUAAGUGCUCAAUAGGGACGACCUUUAGCAGCUCUGAAUCCAUGUUGCUGGCCAACUUUGAAAGGGCGUCUGCAUGUGCAUUUUCUAGACGGGGGACUUGAGUCAGUUCGAACCUUUCAAAAUGAGGAACUAUGUCCAGAACCAACUUCAAGUACGCAAUCAUGCUACCAUCUUUAGCUGUGAAGUUUCCAUUGACCUGAUUUACUAUAAGUUGAGAAUCACUGCUCGUCAGGAGCCUUCUGACCCGCAUCUCCUUGGCAAGUCUAAGACCUGCCAGAAGGGCCUCGUAUUCAGCAGCGUUGUUCUAGGUUUUGAAGUCGAACCUCACUGCACAAUUUAGCUUGUGGCCUUCCGAGCUUUCCAAUACGAUCCCUGCCCCUAUGCCAGUCUCUCCUGAGGACCCAUCUACGAAUAGUUUCCAUGUGGGGGGUUCGGCUGGUUCCAUUAUCGUCUCCAUUUCUGGGGCUUUAACAAACUCAACCAUAAAAUCAGCAAGGGCCUGACCCUUGAUGGCGUGUCGAGGUCGGAACGUUAGAUCGAACUCACUGAACUCGAUUGCCCAUUAAGCAGGCGUCCUGAUGCGUCUGUUUUCUGCAUCACCUGCUUUAGUGGGAAGUUGGUGAGAACUUGUAUUGAGUGAGCCUAGAAGUAUGGUCUCAGUUUUCUUGAUGCUGUGAUAAGGGCGAGUGCCAGUUUCUCCAU